rnacentral:tRNA from 1 species
AAGGGUGGCAUUCGGUUAUAUCUUUAUAGAGCGUAACCAUGGAUUCCAAAUCCGCGUGUUGGGAGUUCGAAUCUCUCCACCCCUGCCA